AUUGAACGCUGGCGGCAUGCUUUACACAUGCAAGUCGAACGGUAACAGGCCGCAAGGCGCUGACGAGUGGCGAACGGGUGAGUAAUGCAUCGGAACGUGCCCAGUCGUGGGGGAUAACGCAGCGAAAGCUGUGCUAAUACCGCAUACGAUCUAUGGAUGAAAGCGGGGGACCGUAAGGCCUCGCGCGAUUGGAGCGGCCGAUGUCAGAUUAGGUAGUUGGUGGGGUAAAGGCUCACCAAGCCAACGAUCUGUAGCUGGUCUGAGAGGACGACCAGCCACACUGGGACUGAGACACGGCCCAGACUCCUACGGGAGGCAGCAGUGGGGAAUUUUGGACAAUGGGCGCAAGCCUGAUCCAGCAAUGCCGCGUGCAGGAAGAAGGCCUUCGGGUUGUAAACUGCUUUUGUACGGAACGAAAAGGUUUGGGUUAAUACCCUGGGCCGAUGACGGUACCGUAAGAAUAAGCACCGGCUAACUACGUGCCAGCAGCCGCAGUAAAAC
rnacentral:rRNA from 1 species